GGGUGUAUAGCUUAAUGGUAGAGUGAGUGCUUAGCAUACAUGAAGUCCUGGGUUCAAUCCCCAGUAUCUA
rnacentral:tRNA from 1 species